rnacentral:lncRNA from 1 species
UGCUAAUGUAACUGUUGCUACAACUGCUGAAAUAAACUUAACACUCAGAACGAUAUAGUUAAGUUAUAUCUAGCACAUAUAGCUGUUUGUUAGAAUUUUAAGUUUAGAUUUUUUGAUAUUAUUUGAUGAUGACGACAAGAUUUACGUUUAAGCAUCUUAACAACAUUAUUUAGACGUAGCAGGCGUUAUUUAACAACAUGGAGAAAGACGUAGUGAAUCAAGAGGAAAGUGAGCCGGAAGUGGGUAAAAUUAUAUCAGAAAGAGCUUCCCACAUUGAUACACAACUGACAGAGUUAACAGGAGAAUUACAACAUUACGAAACAGUUUCUAAAAUGCGUCUAAAUGCACCGAAAACCAGCAAAAAUCCUGUUAUAAUACAAUAUUGUGAUAUAGUUCAUAUCGGACCAAAAAUCAAUUUUCUUACAGAACAAAAAGCAAACAAUUCAUCUAGCAAGAUU